UAAAGACAGAUGCAUCCAGAGUCUCCAAGAAGGUUUCUCAUACAACUGUCAUGGGAAACUGAGUCCUGACAAUACAGGAGAAGCAGAACUCCCAACUUGCUAGAUAUCAGCUAUGCCUAGUUCACGUCCCCUGGAACAGAAGAAGGAAUUCUCAGCUGGCAGACGGAUGCCCGUCUGGACUUCCUGGACCAGGCGGUGCUAAUUACAGCCCAAUUCGAAGUCACUGCUUAUCCCUUGGGAGGCACAGAGGUCUGGCCAUUGCAUCUUGCCUUGAGGCCUGGUCUUCGGAUGCACCUCCAGCCACAACUUAUUUUAAAGCGAUGGAUUUGUAAACAUAAAUGUUUCCCACAGGACCUGACUAGGCUCGAGAGUGACUCAUCACCUCGCGAAACAGUCAAACUAAGUGAGUUGGAGCUGAGUGUCAGAGGGAUGAGAGGACAGAAAGGAGAAGAAAAGAAAAGAUGUAGAACAGAGGGAGGUAAGAAAAGAGCACUGAGCAUUCCAGGCAGUAGCAGGCUCUGUGACAAAUCCUUGAAGGCCUGAAACAUAAGGCAUUGUGAUUAUAUUGUCUAAUCUUUUAUAAAUGUAAUAUAGCACACACAUGAAAGGAUACAUUAAAUAUAAAAGUUCA
rnacentral:lncRNA from 1 species